AAAAACGUAUUUGGGGUGUUCAGGCUUCCUGAAGGUAAUACCCGGGUAUUAGGUUAUGGGGCUUAGGAAAGGUUUAGGGUUUUUGGCGAUAGGGUUAAAAUCACUGUCCAAAACCUUUGUAGGAACUCUUUUCCAACCUUUUGGAGUCAGUUAGACCAAAAAAAAAGAAAAAUGAAAAAAAAAAUAUUUGGGGUUUUCAGGCUUCCUGGAGGUAAUACCCGGGUAUUAGGUUAUGGGGCUUAGGUAAGGUUUAAGGUUUUUGGCGUGAGGGUUAAAAUCACUGUCCAAAGCCUUCGUAGGAACUCUUUUCCAACCUUUUGGAGUCAGUUACACCAAAAAAAAAAUGUAAAAAGAAAAAAAAAUAUUUGGGGUGUUUGGGCUUCCUGAAGGUAAUACCCUAAUAUUAGGUUAUAGGGCUAUGGUAAGGUUUAAGGUUUUUGGCGAUAGGGUUAAACUAACUGUCCAAAAC